rnacentral:rRNA from 1 species
UACAGAGGUCCCAAGCGUUGUUCGGAUUCACUGGGCGUAAAGGGUGCGUAGGCGGUCGGGUAAGUCUGAUGUGAAAUCUCACAGCUUAACUGUGAAACUGCAUUGGAUACUAUCCGGCUAGAGGAAUGGAGGGGAGACUGGAAUACUUGGUGUAGCAGUGAAAUGCGUAGAUAUCAAGUGGAACACCAGUGGCGAAGGCGAGUCUCUGGACAUUUCCUGACGCUGAGGCACGAAAGCCAUGGGAGCAAACGGG